AAAUUUCUUUUACAACAGAGUAUUUUGAAUUCCUACAUUUCAUCUCCAGCCAUCAAUGGUUGUAAGAACAAUCCCGCUGUUCCUAGAAUACAUACCAGAAUAAAAACCCACAGAAAAAUGCGAUCAAUUACCAUGGCAACAUACUUCCAAUCAUCCUGAAUCUGAAAAAUAUAAACACAGACAAAUAAGACAGGAAGCAGGCAUGUUCUGAUAAAGUUUACUGAUCAUUAAAUUGGUUAGUAAUAUCAGAACUCCUUUCUGUGUUCAGCAAAAAUGUACAUGAGAGCUCCUCCAUGUACAGAAUGUUUCCUCUUUCAUAUGAACACAACUUCAAACCUGGCUUUUGAGGCAGCAGAAAUUCAUCCAUCAUUCAUACAAAAACAGUCAGGCCAAAAACAGUACAGAAUUAACUUACUAUCUCUUCGUCCCCCAAAUGGUUUGAUUCAUUAUGGCUGAAACUUGCUUUGCAUGAGUUGCAGAAGCUAUUUUUCUAAAUUAAUUCCAACUUUGUAACACUAUUUUAAGAUAAUAGAACUGUCCCUUUCACUAAACACACAGGGGACAUAUGGCCCCUCUUCCAUGGCGACAGAAAUUUGAAGGUAAAAGAGACUUUAUAGAGGGAGCACUUUCAAAAGUCACUUGGGCACCUAUGAAUCUAAGUUCCAUUGAAAGGCGCCAUUCCUGUUGAAGUGAAGGAGUUCAGCAUGAGCAUUGUUAUCAGGGAAAGCCUCACUACAGUAGCUUGCGGUAUCACUCCUCUAAGAAAGCAGGAAUUCAGGGCUCCUGCCGCAGCUUGUCACUAUGGAUGCAUGGAUCAGAGGAGGGCCAUGUCUCCACCCUGUUCACAAUCACAUAACAUCCCUGUGGCAAUUUCAGCUGUUGUUUACAUGGAAAAGUAAGACUGGGAAAGCAUUUUUAGCUAUUUAUGUGAUUAGAAAACUGUAGAAGAGAAGAAGCCAGCACCACAUGACCAGCCAGCUCUUCAUGGACCUACCAGCAUGUGCUCUACAGACGACAGUUUGGGAACUCCUGUAUUGGAGAGUAUUUCAAGCAUGUUUCACUGAGGCCAGCUUCCUUUUAUAGUGUAUAGCCAACAUAUUAUCUCAGUAACACAUUUGGUCUCCUAUUGACUUGUUGGAAGCAAAAGUCCUAAGAGCGUACCAACCCUGGGGCUUUUAUAUAGUUAUAUUUAAUGCUGUGUUGAUGUCAGAUGGGAAGCAAUUUUAACUGCAAAAAUGUCUGGAUCUAAUACUCCCUUUCAAUGAAAGGUCUGAAUUACUGAAGAGUUUCCCAUCUGUAAAUGAGAGGAAAGUUGUGUAGCAGAACUAUCUGCUCCUUCUUACUGCCAGCCUUGCAUAUACUUCUGAAAACAUUUAUAGAAAGAGUGGGGCUAGAAGGAGCACAGGGAUGCAGAGUCUGAAGUUUCCUGUCUGUUUCUCUUAUUAAAAUGUGUGUGUUUUCAAUUUUUAAUACUUAUUAGCUCAACAGACUCCAAAAGUAUUGAUGUUCAACAGAAGCAGUGAUUGGGGGGGUUGUUCUACUACUAGAGAAGUAACAGUUUGCAAUACAUACCAUAGUCGCUGUGUAUUAGUACCCGGGUUUGAUCAAAAAUCUUAGGUCUUUUGUAAUAUUCAUGUGAAUGCUCAAUUUUUUUUUAAAAUUCUUGAUACAAAACCAAAACAAAUUAAGAGUAAAGGCACUUGAUAUGGCAUGGUCUUACUUGUUAUAUAAGACAAUGUCUGGCUUCCAGAUCCUAUCAGCUGGAACUCGAAUAAACUCAGCACCUCCAUAUUCCUCUGGAUUCCACUUAAGUUUGUAAUCAUUCCAGAUCUAAUCAUAGAAGAAACCAAACUUCAUUAGAAUUACAAAAAGACCCAUCUCAAAUUGUGGACUACUGCCCAUUCUUUCCAUUAAAACA